rnacentral:rRNA from 1 species
GACGAACCCUGGCGGCGUGCUUAACACAUGCAAGUCGAACGGAAAGGCCCUGCUUUUGUGGGGUGCUCGAGUGGCGAACGGGUGAGUAACACGUGAGUAACCUGCCCUUGACUUUGGAAUAACUUCAGGAAACUGGGGCUAAUACCGGAUAGGAGCUCCUGCUGCAUGGUGGGGGUUGGAAAGUUUCGGCGGUUGGGGAUGGACUCGCGGCUUAUCAGCUUGUUGGUGGGGUAGUGGCUUACCAAGGCUUUGACGGGUAGCCGGCCUGAGAGGGUGACCGGCCACAUUGGGACUGAGAUACGGCCCAGACUCCUACGGGAGGCAGCAGUGGGGAAUAUUGCACAAUGGGCGGAAGCCUGAUGCAGCAACGCCGCGUGCGGGAUGACGGCCUUCGGGUUGUAAACCGCUUUCGCCUGUGACGAAGCGUGAGUGACGGUAAUGGGUAAAGAAGCACCGGCUAACUACGUG